CGUCCCCCUUCCCCGGCGCCUGGCAGCGCCUCUCCUUCCGCUUCAGGGCCUCCUGCUGCAGGCAUUCGUCGUCGUGGAUCUUCAUGCUCUCUGCCUUGUACAGGGAAUCCUUGUGCUACAUGCAUUGCCAGCAUCAGUAUAUCCAGAGGUUACCAUCUGCAUCGAGAGCACAUCCUUGCUCACAGAGAGAGGGGACCUGGAGAGGGGAGAUGCUAAGCAAUGGAAGAGCAGUCACCAGCCUCGUACUUGUCCCUACCUGAAUGGAUGAUGCUUCUACCUUUAUUCAGAACAUCAAGGCUAUCUGGAAACUGGUAGCAAAUACAAGUUGCAAAGGAAGGAAGGAUGAUUUGGAGGUGAUAUGGGCGAUGGACCAGAUCAGAAGGUUAAGGUAAGAGAAGAGCUUGAACUAAAAUGUUGGUAAUGGGGAUGGACUUGGGGUUAGGUUUGAGAAACAAUGCUGGUAUGGAAUUGACAGUGACUAAAUGGACUUGAGGUGGAGAUAGAAUAGAGAGGGUGACACUGAGGAAGAUGUUGAUAACACUCUAUGUUGGCUAGUAUGUUGUUAUGGUCAGAGUGUUUAUGUCCCCCCUCCCCCCCACCAAAUUUACAUGUUGGUGUGCUAAUCAUGGUGUUUGGAGGUGAGGAUUCUGGAAGGUGAUUAACUCAUAAGGGUGGAGCCCUUGUGAAUGGGAUUACUACUCUUACAAAAGUGAUCCCACAGAGCUAUCUAGUCCUUUCUACCAAGUAGUUAUACAACAAAAGCCUGGAACCUGUAAGAGGGCCCUUACCCAAUAAUGCUGGCAUCCUGAUCUUAGACUUCCAGACUCUAGAACUUCCAGCCUUCCUGAGGAGUAAAUUUCUUUCUUUCUUUCUUUUUUUUUUUUAAAUAAAAUACUCCAUCUGUGGUGUGUUGUUAUAGCA
rnacentral:lncRNA from 1 species